rnacentral:rRNA from 1 species
GAGANCUGGCGGCGGCCUCAUACAUGCAAGUCGAGCGGACGGACCCCUUCGGGGGCGAGUUAGCGGCGAACGAGUGAGUAACAGGUGGAUAAUCUGCCUCCCGGUGGGGGAUAACGGCUGGAAACGGCCGCUAAUACCGCAUUCGGUUGAUACGUUACGAUGUAUCAAAGAAAGGCGCUUCACGGCGUCGCCGGGAGAUGAGUCCGCCUCCCAUUAGCUAGUUGGUGAGAUAAUAGCUCACCAAGGCAACGAUGGGUAGCCGAACUGAGAGGUUGAUCGGCCACACUGGAACUGAGACACGGUCCAGACACCUACGGGUGGCAGCAGUAGGGAAUAUUGGGCAAUGGGCGAAAGCCUGACCCAGCCAUGCCGCGUGAGCGAUGACGGUCCUCGAGAUUGUAAAGCUCUUUUCUGAGGGAAGAAUAUCCAGGGUAGGAAAUGCCCCUGGCUUGACGGUACCUCAGGAAUAAGGAACGGCUAACUCCGUGCCAGCAGCCGCGGUAAUACGGAGGUUCCAAGCGUUGUUCGGAAUUACUGGGCGUAAAGGGAGCGCAGGCGGACAAGUCAGUCUGAAGUGAAAUCCCGGGGCUCAACCUCGGACUUGCUUCGGAUACUG